rnacentral:tRNA from 1 species
GGUUGUGGCUCAGCGGUAGAGCGCUCGCCUCUCACGUCCAAGGCCCUGGGUUCGAUCCUCAGCACCA